rnacentral:sRNA from 1 species
GAGGCCGGAGGUCAACGCCCGACAGCGCUUUGCGCCCUCGGGCGCCGUUCGG